UACAGAGGUCCCGAGCGUUGUUCGGAUUCACUGGGCGUAAAGGGUGCGUAGGUGGUGAGGUAAGUCGGAUGUGAAAGCCCCGGGCUCAACCUGGGAAUGGCAAUGGAUACUGGCAAGCUAGAGUGCGGUAGAGGGUAGUGGAAUUCCCGGUGUAGCGGUGAAAUGCGUAGAGAUCGGGAGGAACACCAGUGGCGAAGGCGGCUACCUGGACCAGCACUGACACUGAGGCACGAAGCGUGGGGAAGCAAACAGG
rnacentral:rRNA from 1 species